AGGCCUUAGGGGGCAGCGCAGAUUUACAAGGCGACAGCGAAUGAUGCACUUUGACCCCACCAAAAUUCUUCAGCCUGGAAAAAAAUAUGCCCGCCCACUCGAAGCGAUGGCAUUUUUCUUUUGUUCAAAAAGACACAAAAAUUGAAACAUUCAACAUAUUUAAUUUAAAAAUAUUAUUAAAACAGUAAAUUAAAGCCGACAUACCACCAUAUUUGCUGUUUUUAAUGUUUAGUAGCACCGCUGCGCACGCCCAAUGUGACGUGUACGAGUGCUGACGUUAUUGGUGUAGUGUCGCGCCGCGGGAGCCUUUGAUAUGCAUGCGGAGCAAGCCCCCCUCAAUCCCCCACAAUCGAAUUCUUCCACUUUGGAGGCAGGAUUCAGAAUUUUUCGUCAUCGCCUUCCGUUUUCACCGACACCAUAUGCACGCGAGGCCACGCCGCAACACAGUCAUUGCGUCUUCGUGUCGCAGAGUCGCCAUGUAAACUGCCCCUAAGUCAGCAAUUUCAGUUUAGUCGUUUGCACAAAAAUGCUUAUUAGCUCCAUUGGUCACCUCUGUGUUCUGUACUAGUAAAUAAAAACUCAAUUUAGCUGGCCAGGGAACACAUUGAUGUCCUCUCACAGAAGGUUGGGAAAGUGACCUGACACAGGGAAUACUUGUUCCCUGAUAAGUCUGCUCCCCAUGAACAAGACUGUGAUGAGCACAGGAUAUUGCAUGGAUGGAUGAAUGGAUGUAAAACUUACCUUCUCUCUGGCCUUUUCCUUGGAGGGCGUAUCCAUCCAGCUUAGUUCCUCAAGUGUUUCUACAUACGCAGUCUGGAUCUUCCCAAUAAGAUCGCUAACCUGCAAGCGAGAAGAAACACGAACGUUUGGCUGAGAUUGACUGACGACCAGUCUUUGGUGUCUGCCUUUUCGCAAAGUCAGCUCAGUUAGACCAGUGUGCCUUUUGACACUGAUGGGGAUUAGCUGUGUGGAAACGGAUGGGCGGAUAAUGGCAAUUUCUCCUCCGCUGUCUUCAUCUAAACAACCUCUAUCAGUGAUUUCGAAUAUAGGUUUUAUGGUAUAUCAAGAGAGAGAGAAAUCUUCUUCACCAUUUUUUUGCUUUCUCCGGCAAAAGUCGCACGUACAUAGAGCGCUCCAACAGCAUUCUCCAUGGUGGUCUGGACGUAACGGACACACUCUCGCCACCAGGCAUCUUCCAGUGUGGUCCCAAACAGAGCCUGAGUGACCAACAAAUGUCAACACAGAAUGAAUUUUUAAAUUCCAAAAACAAGCUAGUUGUCGAUGGAGUUUUACCUUCCUGUAACGGGCCCUGGCAUCUUUGAAACGACGACUCAAGGUUUUAACUUGGUUGAUGAUCAGCUGCCAGGUGAGAUAAUUCUGCAUGGUCCUGUACAUAUGAAGUGUUGCAAAAUCUGUGCCAUUGUUUCAUUUUUGUCAAACUUUUCUUUGCAUGUGUGUCUUAUGCUGACCGAACACUGUGUUUGGAGAGGACUUCGUUCAUCUUUUCCAGCUCCAUCACUUGCAACAUUUCCUCCCACACACGCUCAUCAUCCUGUGUCAGGUUCCUGUCCUCCCGAGUCAUCUUGGCAAUGGUGACCAUGAAGUGGAGGGCAGAUGUAUAGAGGACCACGAGGCCACCCAGGGCGCAGCUGACCACAAGCAGGAGCACACACAGACCGAUUUCGACCACCGUCCAUCCACGUUUGCCAGGUUUACUCGAUUUUUCCAUGAUGUCCAUUUGGCUUUCCGAUUUGCCCAUUCUCCUGACUGGAACCUCUAUAGAAAAAAAAAAAAAAAAAAAAAAAGAGCUUUAUAAUGGCACCCUAACUUACUACUUUUUAAUACAGGUAGUCCCCGGGUUACGAACGAGUUCCGUUCCUACGCUGGCUGGUGACAUAACCCAAAUUUCCGCGAAAAUUGGAAUUAACUCUUUGAGUACCCCUACAUCUCAAAAUAAUUAUCCAAAAAGGCCAAAAGUAUCGUAUUUUGUUUAAUGAUCGACGAUACACUGCCCUCUGGUGGCAGUGUUGGGUCCGGGUGGACUGUCGCCUUGUAUGAAUGGGGAGCAGACUCAGACGUCUGACAUGGAUAAAGGAUAGCUGCGCUCUGGUUGGCCCACAUAAGGCUAUAAGUUGUUUCAGCUGAUAUAAUAUAUAGUAUAUAGUUUGUAUAUAUAGUUAUAGUUAUAAUAUAGUUUGUUUAUACAUUUGUAAUUAAGUCUAGAGCUACAUUUUGUGGACUUAUGUGUGAGCGAUUUGCUAUAAGAAUUGUAAAUACAGUAGCAUUUUAGCUUUUAAGCUAGCCAACUUUUGUUAGGCAAAUUAGGCUAACUCAGUCUACUAAAUUUACAUAUUUAUCAAACUAAAUGGAUGUUUGAACACCAAUUGUUUUGUGUCAAGUGUUUUAUUGUUAAAAUGCGUGUCGUUUUGAACAUAAGUGUACAUUCACUACCGGCCAAAAGUAUUAG